UCUCCUCUCUCUCUUCAAAUCCACCCUAAGUUCGCUUCUACAAUGACCUCAAUUUCAAAAUUUUCUGAUCACUCCGAUACUCUUCAGUCACUACUCUCCGACGCCGACCUCGACCGCUUCGCUCAUGUCGCCAACAAGCUUGCUGAUGCCUCUGGUGAAGUCAUUCGCAAGUACUUCCGAAAGAAAUUUGAAAUUCUUGAUAAGGAGGAUUCGAGUCCUGUAACAAUUGCGGAUAAAGCAGCAGAGGAAUCUAUGGUCUCAAUUAUAUUGGAGAAUUUUCCAUCUCAUGCAAUUUAUGGUGAGGAGAAUGGUUGGAGGUGUAAAGAGAAGUUCUCUGACUAUGUUUGGGUUUUAGAUCCAAUAGAUGGGACAAAGAGUUUUAUUACUGGUAAGCCCUUGUUUGGUACACUCGUUGCUCUGCUACAUAGGGGCAAACCAAUUGUUGGCAUAAUUGAUCAACCUAUACUGAGGGAAAGAUGGAUUGGGAUAAGUGGAAGGAGGACAACACUGAAUGGGGAGGAAUUGUCUACACGGACUUGUGCAAAACUGUCACAGGCAUAUUUGUACACCACCAGCCCACAUCUAUUCAGUGGGGAUGCUGAAGAGGCGUUUGCUCGUGUCAGAAGUAAGGUGAAAGUGCCAUUAUAUGGCUGUGACUGUUAUGCCUAUGCCCUUUUGGCUUCGGGAUAUGUGGAUCUUGUCAUUGAGUCUGGUCUCAAGCCAUACGAUUUCCUUUCCCUUGUACCCGUGAUAGAGGGUGCUGGAGGUAUCAUAACUGAUUGGAAAGGACAUCAUCUUCAUUGGGAUGCUUCUCCAGAUUCUCGUGCAACAAGUUUCAACGUGGUGGCAGCUGGGGACAAACAGAUUCACCAACAAGCACUAGAUUCAUUACAAUGGCAUUGAAGAUUUCCACAGAAUUGUGCAGCCCUCCUCUCCCCUAUUGCUUGGGGAUAAUUGGUGGGACUAUGUGCUCUGAAUUGUAAAAUUUCUACAUUUUGUUAUUUAGUUUAGUGCAAUCUAGGGUAGGUAGAUGACCUGUAGAAAUGAACAAAGUGUAGAAAUUUUACAAUUCAGAGCACAUA
rnacentral:misc_RNA from 1 species